UCCACCGUGAGGUGUGGGUCUGAAGGAAGCCCGAGGCAAAGCGCUGGCCUGACGAACAGGAAUCCCGAACAGGCUGUGAAGCGUGGAUGAGGCUGCCAAACAAGCCAAAGUCCAAAAACUGCACGGAACGCCAACAGUAGACGGGACAGGUAUAAGUGUGAAAGAACGUGUG
rnacentral:ncRNA from 1 species